rnacentral:misc_RNA from 1 species
GCGAAUGGAUCAAUACGGCGGUUCCCCAGCACGUGGAUCCAGCCCCUCGACGGUCCAGCGCGGAUGCUGGGCCAGAUAUUCAGUCGUACGAUUCUCGUUUCACGGCGACGUUUUCGCAGGGUUCAUCCUCAACUCGUGUACCAGAUCACGUUUCGCUUCGGGUUCACGUUGAACUUUGAGACGAUAUUCCAAUACACAGGAUGAUGAUACCAAUCUGAAUCAAGCUGGAUGCAAGUUGAAACGGGCAGAAGCUGACUCCGUGGAAGACUGGAAGAUGGGAAUCUACGUGGCAGGGGUCGCUGGGGUGGCCGUAUUCUACGCCGCUGUUCUCGGCGUUGGUGUCUGGGCAGCGACGGUGAAGAAGAACAAGAUGCAGAGAGGGCAGGACGACAUGCUGCUGGCGAACAGAGGCCUCGGUCUCUUCCUCGGAGUGCUGACUCUUAUCGCAACGUGGGUCGGUGGUGGUUUCAUCAAUGGAACUGCGGAGGCGAUGUUCACCAGAGGAUUGGCUUGGUGUCAAGUACCAAUUGGUUACAGUCUGAGCCUACUAUUCGGCGCCCUGCUAUUUGUGAAGCCGAUGAGGAACGCCGAGUACGUAACAAUGCUCGACCCGUUUCAACAACGAUACGGUGCUCGAGUGGGAGGACUUCUCUUCCUGCCGGCUCUUUGCGGCGAUCUUUUUUGGUGCGGAGCGGUACUCAGUGCCCUGGGCAGCUCCCUUUCCGUCGUUGCUGGAAUCGACUCCAACGUCAGCAUCUGUGCCUCUGCUCUGCUAGCCGCAGUGUACACGGUUUGCGGUGGUCUGUAUUCCGUCGCUUGCACGGACGCCUUGCAGCUCGCUUGCAUAACUCUUGGUCUGGCGGUUGCCGCCCCGUUUGCCGUAAUGCACUCGGCAGUCUCAUUGGAGAAGAAUCUACCGACGAAAGACUGGCUUGGCGAAAUUAGAGAAGAAGAUAUGGGCGAAUGGAUCGACGGCAUGUUGCUCCUCGUCUUCGGUGGAAUUCCAUGGCAGGGUUACUUUCAACGCAUCCUGAGCAUCAAGAGCACAACGGUAGCGAGAACCUUGUCGAUCGUCUCGAUGAUCGGGUGCCUCACGCUUGCGGUACCAUCUGGGCUCUUGGGUCUGGUGGCCAAAGCGACGGAUUGGACAUUGGUGGAAGGUUUCAAUCGUACCAUAACGCAGGAGGAUGGAAACGUGGUUUUACCGUUGGUCCUGCGUUACUUGACACCUCAGUGGGUCUCCUUCAUAGGCCUGGGCGCUGUUUCGGCCGCCGUCAUGUCUUCCGCCGACUCGAGUAUAUUGGCUAGCAGCUCAAUGUUCGCAAGAAACAUAUAUCGAUUAACGAUCAGGCCCAAGGCGACAGAAAAAGAGCUUGCUUGGGUUCUCCGUAUCGCUGUUUUGGUCGUGUCAGGUUUAUCAGCUGCCGUCGCUAUGACGGUCGGCAGCGUUUAUUACCUUUCCUAUCUCUGCUCGGAUCUCGUUUACGUCGUUUUGUUCCCGCAACUCCUCGCCGUCGUACAUUGGCCCAACUGUGUCGACACGUACGGAUGUCUCUUUGGAUACCUCGUGGCUGUCGUACUACGAGUUUCCGGGGGAGAGAAGGGAUUGGGUAUACCACCGCUCAUCGAGUAUCCAUUUUACAACUCCGCAACACAGACUCAAAAGUUUCCGUUCCGGACUGCAGCGAUGAUUUGCGCAAUGAUAUCGCAGAUUUUCGUCAGUUUUUUCACCAAAAAUUUACUCGGCAGAGGGUACUUUCCAAGGUGCUGUGACGUCUUGGGUGUUUAUUCACCGGGAAAACCAUCCAAACAGAGCGGUGUUGUUCAGAGCAGUUCUGGUGCCGCGCUAAUUGACGCCGUCAUUACCGAACCACCGAAUGGGUCAGAGCAUGCAGAAAAUCGUCAUGAGAUGCAGAAAUACGACGCAAAUCGAUCGGUCCGUGAUGAAGACGCGCAGCACUACGAGACCGUGAAUGAUAUGUACGAGAAGCCGGAGGAACCGAAAUCAGAUUUUGUUAUUCAAAACGCGAACAAAAAUUUGCAAAAUUUGCAAAGCAUCAUGCAGUCUCCGGAGGCCAAUCAAACUUCCGUCACUUCUUCUAGUCAGAAUAAUUACUUUGGUGAUCAAAUACUGACGGUUAGAAAUUUAACCGCAAAUUCGGCGAGUGUUAGUCGAGCUCCAGUCACGCAUGGCAGUAACUCGGUAAAGGAUCAGAACAAGAACACCAAGAGUAAACCCGUGGCAUCCAGCACGUCGGUGAACAACGUGGUUUACGCGAAACCUUCGAACAUCGACAGAGGCAAAAAGAAUGACAAAAUUGCCGACAAGUCAAUGAUGGAACUCAACCUUAACAACGACUCCAGUGUGGGGAAGAAAAACAUCAAAGGUGUAAAGCUGAUUGGUAUGGAGGGAGGUACUCUGAGGAGACCGUCGUUGCAGGGAACAUUCUCUCCCACUCCUUCCGUGGAAUUGGUUCAUAUAUUGGACAGAAGACAGAGCAACACUUCUUACGGUCCGAGCUCACUGUCUCCAGUCCCAGGGGUUGAGGCUUGCAGGACUCACGGGACAGCGGUUGAUGGUCAGGUCGGGAACGAGCAUUGUAGAAUCAAGAGAGGCAUCGUCAGGCACCACAGCUUCAACGAGACCGGGGACAGAGCCUUGACCACGCUUGCAAGACAGCCGAAUUAUCCCUCGAUGCCGUUGAGACCGGAGGACUGUCGCCUGACGUUGAUCAAGAGGGAUAACAAAGCUGGUGCAAUCGUUCGCCAUUCGUCUGUAGUCGAUGAAAAAGAUUCGGGCGAGGGUCUGGUUGUCAGUCCAACUUACAAGAUGUACGCUUCGACGGGAAAGACUGGAAAUUAUUUCGUUACCGACGAUGAAGCUGUAAGCAGGUUCUAGACGGGAGUGGCAUCAGGAUCGCGUUUCAAAGCUCCUUUAAUCUAAUCAACUGAUGAGAAAAGGAUGCAAGCACGAGCGUAUAAAAAAAUGUUCGAACAGUUUCUUUUUGACGAAUGAUGAUCUUCCGCAGCAUUUCCGUGUAAAUAUAUGUAGUCGUAGAUACGAGAAGUUUUUGUUGGGUUAGAUAUUUAAUGUACCGCAAUACGUGGCAAUUGAUAAUGAAUAUUAUUCGCGAACUAUCGAUUUACCAUUUAUUUUGAUGUAAUAUUAAAUGUUGGCAAGGAAUGAAUAAUCGAUGAUAUAACCUUAAAGGUACUCGUAUUUAUGGGAACGAAUAAAUACACACAAAAAUAUUACAUAGCGAAACGUCCAAACGUGCAAAUUCAUGAUAAUCCAAUGAAAUGAUAUUUUUGCACCAGUAGCUAACUAGUUAUAAAUAAUAUCUAGGAAUACAAUUCGUGUAUAUUUAAUCCUUACAACAACAGCAACAAUAAUAACGAAGUAAAUAGUAUUAUGAAUAACGCAAUUCUUAAAAAGUAUAGUGGCCUGACGACCGUAUAAAACCUAAGCAACGUAUGAAUAUGACAACAAAAAACACGGUACGAUGAAAGUAACGGUGAAUAUUUGUUAUAUUAAAUAAUAAGAAUCAAGAAAAGGUGGGAAAAAAUUUACAAACAUGUUCAUAUUAUCAGUAUACUAUAAGAAAUUUUUACAAAGACUGAUUAUGAAAUGAGAAAUUACAUUUUGAUGUCCCCAAUUUUACGCUGGAUGAAACCGAGCAGUUGGAUACUUGGAGAGUUUUAUUCGUCAACUGAGCAAAAAUCUGUUGACUUACGGCAAUUGCGACCAAAAAACAGGCUGCUAUAGUGUUUACUAAACGUUUAUCGUAAAUUUACUUUGAAUACCUAUAAUACACACCAAUUAAGAAGGAACUUCUACCAACACUCGUGUAUCUGAUAAGGAUAUUUUACGCAAUUAAUAAUUUUGUAAAGUUAUAAGUAACAUCUAGUACCUAUAUCAGUAUUAUUACUAACUAACUAAUGGUAAACUAAGAAAUAGAGAACCAUGGCAAAACUUUUCAAUAGUCAAUUUUACGAACUGUACGUAUCUGUAAUAUAGAAAUGAAAACAUUCAACGACUUAGUCAACUCCGUGUGAAAAUUGACUGUUAGUAGUUACUAAUUACUUUGAGAGAGAAUUGUAGAAGCAGUUUAUCAUUACGUGAAAACGAAUUUUUCUAACGAUUAUCAGUCAUCUGUAUGUGCCAGGGAAAUUUUUCGUUUCUGAAUAUUAGUUGCAUUAUAAUUUGUAGGAUUAGAUCAUAUGUACUUGAGUGAUGGUAAUUGAUAUGCAAUGACGAUUGUAUGUAGGCCUAGAUUAAUAUUAUAAUAAUGAUGUGAACAUUGUCUGAUAUUAAAAUUAUCUUUUCAAUUUCGAUUAUGACAACAUGAAUGAGGUUGUAUACUGUGAAUUAUGUGCCAAAUACAUAUAAUGGUCCUUCAAACAUAGGAGAAUGUAUAAUUCCAUGUAGAUAUAGGUAAGUCUACUCAAGUGGUAACCACUAGCUAUUAAGUUGAUGUCUCAAGAUUUCAAAUGAAAAUAAUCAACUGAAAAACUUUGUUUUUCAAUAUUCGUUAUGUUAAAAAUUCGUGUAGGAAACAUUGAUAACGAAAAUUUACUUUUUCUCGAACACCUGCAUCGUAGCAUUUUAAAUUAUCAAAGUGUCUGAAUGAUUGUUUGCUUUUAUUAUUAGUUAGCCGAAGUUAUACAUUGUUUCGAAUAAGAAAUAACUCGAAUUCUAAGGUAAUUAAUCACAACACUUUAACAGUAAGUCGAUAUUUGUGUAUAAAAAACGUUAAUUAUGUGUGCAUGUGUUCAAAAAUACGAAACACACAUCUUGUGACUGCGAUGUAGAGAAAUUCCAGUACAAUAAAAAAAAAAAAAAAACUGGAUAAUUAGGUGUGUUUAAAGUAAGUCGAAAAGGUAGAUACGAAUAAUAGGUAAAAUAUUAGUUGAAAUUUGAUACCUUGAUACUUUCACACCACAUAAAGCGUGAUUUGGUACACAAGAAUUGCAUGUGACUUCAGUGAACGUGAAUCAACUUGUAGAAAUCCCAUCAAAUCUAGUAAUAAGAACAAUAAAUCCGAUGAAAAUUCA